UGGGGAAUCUUGCGCAAUGGGCGAAAGCCUGACGCAGCAACGCCGCGUGUGUGAUGAAGGUCUUCGGAUCGUAAAGCACUGUCGCGAGGGACGAAUAAGGGUUGGGUGAACAAUCCAGUCCGAUGACGGUACCUCGAAAGGAAGCACCGGCUAACUCUGUGCCAGCAGCCGCGGUAAUACAGAGGGUGCAAGCGUUGUUCGGAAUUAUUGGGCGUAAAGCGCGUGUAGGCGGCUUUGUAAGUCAGGUGUGAAAGCCCUCGGCUUAACCGAGGAAGUGCGCCUGAAACUGCAGAGCUUGAGUACCGGAGAGGGCGGUGGAAUUCCCGGUGUAGAGGUGAAAUUCGUAGAUAUCGGGAGGAACACCAGCGGCGAAGGCGACCGCCUGGACGGCUACUGACGCUGAGACGCGAAAGCGUGGGGAGCAAACAGG
rnacentral:rRNA from 2 species